AAAAAAACCGUGUGGCAAUGGGAAGACGUGAUGCGGAGUGAAGUUUAGUAAUGAAGUCCGUGAGCUGUGCGUCAAGAAAAGCCGCUAUUGUUCAUACCAUACCCGUACCGUAAACCGACACAGGUGGAUGAGGAGAGAAUCCUAAGGCCGGCGGAAGAAGCAUUGUCAAGGAACUCGGCAAAAUGACCCCGUAACUUCGGGAGAAGGGGUGCCUGAGAGAGCAGGCCGCAGAGAAUAGGCUCAAGCAACUGUUUAGCAAAAACACAGGUCUAUGCGAAACCGAAAGGUGAGGUAUAUGGGCUGACGCCUGCCCGGUGCUGGAAGGGUAAGAGGAGAGGUUAGCGCAAGCGAAGCUUUGAAUUUAAGCCCCAGUAAACGGCGGCCGUAACCAUAACGGUCCUAAGGUAGCGAAAUUCCUUGUCGGGUAAGUUCCGACCCGCACGAAAGGCGUAAUGAUUUGAGCGCUGUCUCGACAAUGCAUCCGGUGAAAUUGAAGUACCAGUGAAGAUGCUGGUUACCUGCGCCAGGACGGAAAGACCCCAUGGAGCUUUACUCCAGUUUGGUACUGGGAUCCGGUACUGCAUGUACAGGAUAGGUGGGAGGCUGAGAAUCGGUAACGCCAGUUGCCGAGGAGCCGCUGUUGGGAUACCACCCUUGCAGUAUUGGGUUUCUAACCAGCCGCCGUGACCCGGCGGUGGGACAAUGCCAGACGGGGAGUUUGACUGGGGCGGUCGCCUCCGAAAGGGUAUCGGAGGCGCCCAAAGGUUCCCUCAGGAUGGACGGAAACCAUCCAAAGAGUGCAAAGGCAGAAGGGAGCUUGACUGCGACACCGACGGGUGGAGCAGGUACGAAAGUAGGGCUUAGUGAUCCGGUGGUAUUAAGUGGGAAUGCCAUCGCUCAACGGAUAAAAGCUACCCUGGGGAUAACAGGCUUAUCACUCCCAAGAGUUCACAUCGACGGAGUGGUUUGGCACCUCGAUGUCGGCUCAUCGCAUCCUGGGGCUGUAGUAGGUCCCAAGGGUUGGGCUGUUCGCCCAUUAAAGCGGUACGCGAGCUGGGUUCAGAACGUCGUGAGACAGUUCGGUCCCUAUCCGGCGUGGGCGUAGGAUAUCUGAGAGGAGCUGUCCUUAGUACGAGAGGACCGGGAUGGACGGGCCGCUGGUGCACCGGUUAGACUGCCAAGUCUAUAGCCGGGUAGCCAAGCCCGGAAGGGAUAAACGCUGAAGGCAUCUAAGCGUGAAGCCCCCCUCAAGAUGAGAUAUCCCAUCCGAAAGGAGUAAACCCCCUUGAAGACGACGAGGUCGAUAGGGCAGAGGUGGAAGUGUGGUAACACAUGGAGCUGACUGCUACUAAUAGGGUGAGGGCUUGACC
rnacentral:rRNA from 1 species